rnacentral:rRNA from 1 species
UACAGAGGUCUCAAGCGUUGUUCGGAUUCAUUGGGCGUAAAGGGUGCGUAGGCGGCGCGGUAAGUCGGGUGUGAAAUCUCGGAGCUUAACUCCGAAACUGCAUUCGAUACUGCCGUGCUUGAGGACUGGAGAGGAGACUGGAAUUUACGGUGUAGCGGUGAAAUGCGUAGAUAUCUGGAGGAACACCGAUGGCGAAGGCGGCUCUCUGGACCGAGACUGACGCUGAGGCGCGAAAGCGUGGGGAGCAAACAGG